rnacentral:rRNA from 1 species
AAGGCGACGAUGAAUAGCCGGCCUGAGAGGGUGAACGGCCACACAGGAACUGAGACACGGUCCUGACUCCUACGGGGGGCAGCAGUCGGGGAUAUUGCACAAUGGAGGAAACUCUGAUGCAGCGACGCCGCGUGAAUGAUGAAGGCCUUCGGGUCGUAAAAUUCUGAUGUGAGAGACGAAGAUAGUGACGGUAUCUCACCAGCAAGCACCGGCUAACUACGUGCCAGCAGCCGCGGUAAUACGUAGGGUGCGAGCGUUGUCCGGAAUCACUGGGCGUAAAGGGAGCGUAGGUGGUUAUAUAAGUAUUUAGUAAAAGGCAUGGGCUUAACCGAUGUAAGCUAGAUAAACUGUAUAACUUGAGUACAGUAGAGGUAAGCGGAAUUCCUAGUGUAGCGGUGAAAUGCGUAGAUAUUAGGAGGAACACCAGUGGCGAAGGCGGCUUACUGGGCUGUAACUGACACUGAGGCUCGAAAGCGUGGGGAGCAAACAGGAUUAGAUACCCUGGUAGUCCACGCCGUAAACGAUGAGUGCUAGGUGUCGGGGGUUUAGAUACCCUCGGUGCUGGAGUUAACGCAAUAAGCACUCCGCCUGGGGAGUACGAUCGCAAGGUUGAAACUCAAAGGAAUUGACGGGGGCCCGCACAAGCAGCGGAGCAUGUGGUUUAAUUCGACGCAACGCGAAGAACCUUACCAAGGCUUGACAUCCUCUGAUGUACCUAGAGAUAGGUUGGUCCCUUCGGGGCAGAGUGCAGGUGCUGCAUGGCUGUCGUCAGCUCGUGUUGUGAAAUGUUGGGUUAAGUCCCGCAACGAGCGCAACCCUUGUGUUUAGUUGCCAUCAUUAAGUUGGGGACUCUAGACAGACUGCCGGUGACAAACCGGAGGAAGGUGGGGAUGACGUCAAAUCAGCAUGCCCUUUAUGCCUUGGGCUACACACGUGCUACAAUGGUCUGUACAAAGAGAAGCGAUACUGCGAAGUGGAGCGGAUCUCAUAAAGCAGAUCUCAGUUCGGAUUGCAGGCUGAAACUCGCCUGCAUGAAGUUGGAGUUGCUAGUAAUCGUAGGUCAGCAAUACUACGGUGAAUGCGUUCCCGGGCCUUGUACACA